rnacentral:misc_RNA from 1 species
GAUGAAGAACGCAGCGAAAUGCGAUACGUAAUGUGAAUUGCAGAAUUCAGUGAAUCAUCGAGUCUUUGAACGCACAUUGCGCCCCCUGGUAUUCCGGGGGGCAUGCCUGUCCGAGCGUCAUUGCUGCCCUCAAGCACGGCUUGUGUGUUGGGCCUCCGUCCUCCUCCCGGGGGACGGGCCCGAAAGGCAGCGGCGGCACCGCGUCCGGUCCUCGAGCGUAUGGGGCUUCGUCACCCGCUCUUGUAGGCCCGGCCGGCGCUUGCCGACACAUCAAUCUUUUUUCCAGGUUGACCUCGGAUCAGGUAGGAAUACCCGCUGAACUUAAGCAUAUCAUAAGCGGAGGA